UUAUUCACAUAAAUCUAGGCGGGCAAUGUGAUCCCGCCCCUUGUGAUUUGCAUCACGUGAUUCCUAUAAACUGGCGCCAUUUUCUAUGCACGGUCUCAUUCUGCCGCAGUCCGCGUCGUGUCCAGUAGCCGUCCUUUGUCUCCGAGCAAACACUGAGAUUUUUCAACAUGUCUGACGAAGGAAAGCUUUUCAUUGGUGGUCUGAGCUAUGAUACCACAGAGCAGUCUUUGGAGGAGGCGUUCUCAAAAUAUGGAACAAUUGCCAAAGUUGAUGUAAUCAGAGACCGUGAGACAGACCGGUCAAGGGGCUUUGGCUUUGUCACAUUUGAAAAUCCAGAAGAUGCAAAGGAUGCCAUGGCUGCAAUGAAUGGAAAGUCCGUCGAUGGCCGUAUGAUCCGUGUGGAUGAAGCCGGCAAGUCGGGUGGAAGAUCUGGUGGAUUCAGAGGUGGUUCUGGAGGUGGCAGGGGAUUCUUCAGGGGCGGCAGAGGAAGAGGUGAGAGUGGUGGAGGAUAUGGUGGAGACAGAAGUUUUGGUGGUGACAGGAGCUAUGGCGGAGAUCGCAGCUAUGGCGGUGGUGAUAGAGGCUAUGGUGGUGGUGACAGGAGCUACAGCGGAGGUGAGCGUUCAUACGGCGGUGGCGGAUACUCAUCCAACAGAAGCGGAGGCUACUCUGGCGGCGGUGGAUACAGAGACAACAGGAACCAGGGAGGUUACGACCGUUCCGGUGGUUCCUACAGAGACAGCUAUGACAGCUACGACUGAAAGGCUGAUCGUGCUGCCUUAGAUUGGUGAUGGAAGCUAAACCUUUGUGAUGCAAGCAACUCUGUUUCAUGGAUGUGAUUGAGAGAACUAUCAUGGAAAUGAAAAUUCCCAAAUGAUUGCAAAAACACUUCCCUAAAGGAUUCAGCAGGACCUCUAGGGUGAAGUUUGGUUAUUUUGCUGGAAGGGUUGUAAGAGGGCUUCAUUUCAAAUGUCUUGUAUGAACUUUGGCGCUAAUAAAGUAAUGGCUUUUUUAAA